UAGACGGGAUUUGGCUGGCCCCGCCGGACGGACGUCUUGCAGCGUGACAUCUCCUGGCCGACCGAGUUGAGAAGGCAGAGCUUUCCCCCUGCAACUCCCAGGAAGCUGUAGUUCAACACCUCUGAAUGGCCUCAAGUUCAGGGAAGGCUGUAGUCAUGAGCAGGAAUCAGAUCGCUUUACACAUGCGGAAACCACUCCAUAACAGCUUUGGAGGCCUGGCUCCACUUCAGAGAGACUUACAUACAAAUUGCUUCUUGGCUCCAGG